GAGCCACCGAGGAGCUGAUCUUAGAGAGAGAGCGAGUCCGAACCAUCCUGUUGUCCCCCAAAUCAUCUGAAACACAGAUACAGGAAACAUCAGGCCCCCGGGGCUGAUGGGAGUUUGAGUCACACAGAGCGUCUUUGUGGCAGCUUCCCGACGCUCCGCCGUGUGACUGAGUCGUGAUCGACUGCAACAACGACGGCUUUCACGCUCGCAUUCCUCCGAACUUCACAUGAACGGGUCGAUUCACACGCUCACGGUCACGCCGCUGACAGCCUGACAGACUGCACUCAGGGUUCAAAACACCCAGACUCCCACAGAGGGACACCUGCGCAGGUUGAAGUCCCGUUGAAUCACCUCCCACACGUGUUUCGCCUCCUCGUCCGUCAGACGAGACAGAUCCAGUUUUCG